rnacentral:rRNA from 1 species
GACGAACGCUGGCGGCGUGCUUAACACAUGCAAGUCGAACGGAAAGGCCCUGUCUUGCAGGGUGCUCGAGUGGCGAACGGGUGAGUAACACGUGGGUGAUCUGCCCUGCACUUCGGGAUAAGCCUGGGAAACUGGGUCUAAUACCGGAUAGGACCACGAUCUGCAUGGAUUGUGGUGGAAAGCUAUUGCGGUGUGGGAUGGGCCCGGGCCUAUCAGCUUGUUGUGGGUGAUGGCCUACCAAGGCGACGACGGGUAGCCGGCCUGAGAGGGUGUCCGGCCACACUGGGACUGAGACACGGCCCAGACUCCUACGGGAGGCAGCAGUGGGGAAUCUUGCGCAAUGGGCGAAAGCCUGACGCAGCGACGCCGCGUGA